GUAUGUGUCAACCUGUGAGCAUCCAUGGCCUCCGGCACACUGACACCUCUCUGUCCUUUAAGGAGGAGAUGGAAAGCAUUCCCGAUGCCCUUCAUGUGCUGCAAGGAGACGGCAGGAGAAAAAGAGACAGACGGGACACAGAGGAUAUCGCUUUUGUCCUUCAUCUGCCCCAACAAUCCUCGCCUUCUGCUCCAUUACGGAUGAGCGUCGAGUCCCGAAGACGCUCGCAGGGCCACGCGGCUUGAACAACCGUACUUGGGUUUUCUGAAAAUUGCCCCUCGUGCGAGCGCGAGCUGACGGCGUGCCCGCUGGCACCAUCUUCACAGGGAGCGCGGGUCCAGGUGAGUGUCCGCGUCAUCACGGAGGCAUGCUCCACAUAACAUAGCUAAUAA